rnacentral:lncRNA from 1 species
CGAAAGAAAGCAGUACAUACAAAUUGAUGAACAUGUAUCAGGACGAAGGAACAUAGUAUGCGGAAUCCCCCAGGGGUCAAUAUUAGGACCUAAAUUGUUUUUGUUGUACAUAAAUGAUCUGUGUGAAGUCUCAACAAAGUUAAAAUGUAUAUUAUUUGCUGACGACAGAACAAUUCUGGGUUCCGGCAAAGUUCUGCACUGUAAUAAUGUUAAUGUAAAUAAUCACUCAAAUCAAUCAAAUCAAUCAAUCAAGGAGCAGCGACUCUACUCUGAGCUCCUCCCGGGUAACUGAGCUCCUCACCCGAUCUCGAAGGGUGCGCCCAGCCAUCCUGCGAAGGAAACUCAUUUCAGCCGCUUGUAUCCGCGAUCUUGUCCUUUCGGUCAUUACCCAGAUCUCAUGACCAUAGGUGAGGGUGGGAACGUAGAUCGAUCGGUUAAUGGAGUACUUUGCCCCCUGACUCAGCUCCCUCUUCACCACAACAGUCCAAUACAGCGACCGCAUUACUGCUGACGCCGCACCGAUCCGUAUAUCGAUCUCACGCUCCAUCCAUCCCUCACUCGUGAACAAGACCCCGAGAUACUGAGGCAAGGGCACUUUAGUCAACAAUGGAAAAUAAUUUGUUUUGUUAACUUGAAAUGCAUAUAAUAUGGAUAAUAAUAAUAUAAUUACUUUCACCCCCAGCCCUUCAGAAUCCCCUCCUCAGCAGACCCUCCCCUUUUUGUGAUACCACUUCCUUUAGCUCUGAAGUCUGUUCCAUUAGCAGCUCUUUUUGGACCAAGGCAGGACCAAAGCCUUGGACUGGAAGGAAGUGAGUUUGGAGGCACUGCCUUCAACACCAAGGCAAGGUACCUAGGCUUUGGGAAACCGCCCAUGUUAAACGCAAGAAUUUGUCUCGGCAGCAUUCAUUUUUUAAAUCAGCGCCCUUGUGGAAAUAGAUUUGUUUCAAUUUAAAAACACAAAACCCACUAAUUUACCAUAUAUGGUCCAUUCACGCUUCAAUUUCAGCCCAAAAGUGCGAUUAUUGUUGCAGCAGAGGGCGGAGUUAGCGUUAGCCCUGAGCACCACUAGCACAUCUGCGUCUGAGUGCGACAUACGGGGGACCUUUAGCGCUGUUUGUGUUAUUUUACGGGUUUUUUAGUGUUUUGCCGCAGUCGAGGCUUCGUCUCUCAUCCCCGGACGCGUCACUCCAAAUGAUAAAACAUCCAUGCUCCAACUCCGCAG